UCAUCGCAAUAAGUUCAAUUCAACGUCGCGUUGUUUAAAUCGUUUAAAACUCUAAAAGUGAAAACUUUAAAUUUUUAAUAAAAAGUGUUUGUUUUGAAUUUAUGUGAACACCCUGUGUGUAUGUGUUUGUUGUGUUUGUUUAACUCCUCACCUAGUUUUGCCAAAAGUGAACUAUUAUUCUCGCCAUAAUGAAAGGCGGCUGGAAAACGCGAACAAAAAGCCCGUCUCGCGCCAUAUUUUCGCAUCCCCUGGGCACGCCGAGAAAGAGAGUCUCGACGCGAAGGUCUUCACCGCCUCGCGCAUUUCUUUACCGCCGCCGCCGCCGCUCCUGCGCCAUCGCCGACUUAUUAUUUUAUGCAAAUGAAGAAAAACAUAAAAACGACGCUCGUUCGUCGCCCUCGCAGCGAACGCGACGACUCGUUUGCAUAAUGAGCGAACGAACGCGCUGGAAGAACGAGACGCCUUCUCGUCCUGUUUUUAUCCGAGGACUCAGGAUAACGUACAGUGAACGACGCACGACGACCAGAUAACCAACACACAGGAUAAUCAGAUAGGAAAAAACUUGCGGGAAAUAAAAAAAUGUUUUUUUGGUGUUUUAAGGAUAAUUUUAAGACAAAAUAAGAUAAAGUUGUUGUAGUGGG